rnacentral:lncRNA from 1 species
ACACCAAUAUAUUCAAUCACCAUGUAGAAGAGCAGGGUCUGACUACGAAAGAAAGCAAACAAUAAAAGAACGACGUCCAUCCUUGCUAUUCUAGGCUGUCGGCCUGGAACCCAUCCUAGAUCGAUGACGAUGAAUAAGAAGUAACUCCAAAUAGAACAAUCAUCGCGCUUACAUAAAAGGAUCUCUUUACCUGUUCCUGCAACUGUUGUUGUAGUAAUCUGUGAGACACAGGGACUCAGCAAUCUCAUUUCCAAAGGUAUCAAGGCAAGCUAAUGUUAAUGGGUGAGUUAUGGUAAAGCGUGAGGCUGCAACAAGCAACUAAUCAUUUAUUUGAGAUGGCUAACUUACGAGUACAAGAAUAAGAUGGGGGUGAUCUAUGAAUAACGGACAUGGACUAAUAAUGACCUCGAGGUGAUCCUGAACACCUACUUACGUAAAAAAUAACCCAUCUGUGUCCUCUUCCGGAUGCAGAAAUCAUGAGAAGAGACAGUCACGGUUACACACACAUUUGACAUAUUUUAAUUAAGUUUACUUAAAGUUAUCUAGAACCGGAUGUUAAACAAAGUUUCCAAAUUUCCACAUAACCGCGGGCACGACUUUCUGAAAUAUGUAACCCUGCAGGGGUGCUCUAACUAAUCCAACACAAACUACCACAAGUUGUGUCGGACACCUCGACUGGGGAAAACCAGUGAUCUCCUCGGAUUCCGAGUGGAAAACCUGAACCUCGAGAUAGACCAAAGUAUCCUCGGAAUCCCUCGCACAAGACAUCCGUGAAAGGUAAUACAAAUCCAUCAAAACCGCUCGACAUGUCGACGAUCCCGAUAGAAUCCGCGUAUCUCGUUCUCAGCACACGACGGAUAAGCGACGCGUAUGGAACAUAACACCGGUACACAAGUAACUUGGGCGGCAAAGUUGGAACAAACACCAGGCUAGGAGGCCAAGUAUGUAGGUGCAUUAAAUUAAAUAGCAAUAAUAUGAUGACAUAACAAGGAACCCAUGUUUUCACAUGGAAACAACUGCACCUGCAACUAGCAAUGCUAUCAGAAGGCUAAGAAAGCAGUAACAUAGCCAAACAGUGAUUUUGCUGGGAUGUGGAGAGAUUAGAGGUUUUCCAUCGCAAUGUUGAGAGGUUGAGAUUUAAGUAGUAGGCAGUGAUACUUAGCGAAAGAAACAAAACAAAUAGCAUUGCAAUGAUAGUAAUGGUAUCUAGGGAAAUGAUCAUCUUGCCUGUGAUCUCGCUUGGAAGAAGAAUGAAUCUGUGAAGCAAACGAACCAACAUAGUCGAACGAAUCCUCACACUCUGAAAUGGUUUGGAACUCUAUCAAGAAGAAACAACCCGGAAACAAACAAUCAACACACGACAACACCACAACAUAUGCAUGACACGAUGCACAACACAUAUGAUGCAUGAAUGAUAUAAGUAUGCACGACACGACAAAGCACAACAAUUAAUACUACACAUUAAAUGAAGCUCAAUAUGCAACGAGUUGAAUAUUGACAAAACUCCAUAUUUGAAUUACUUGGUUCACUCCCGUUUAGAUACACGACAAUGUUAAAUGUCGUUAAACAUGGCAGGAGGUGAAGCAUAAAUACACUACCUAUCUAGGCAUAUUAAAUGAGGUCAAAAACAACAUAUAGCAUCUCUGAAAUGACCCCAUGUGUUAAUUUCGAAAUUGGUCCAGAUUUGUAGUAAACACAAUUUACAUUUAUUAAACAGCAAAAUGAAGUGGACCAUGUGAUUCAACACAUCAUUCUAGUCGAUUUACAUAUAUAGAUUAUUUAAAAUGAAGCUACGGUCUGAAAGAUAUGAGAAACACAAGAUGAUAUGCCAUGAAUGCAAAAUGCAUGCAAGUCACAACCACAACAUGUUAAAACAUGGAUGCACAAGAUAAUAUGAAUCUACAUGAAAUUCGAGGCAAGUUUAAAUGAGGCCGGAGUAACGAAUAACAAUUCCGGAAAAUCUCCAUAUCAAAUUAAGAUUUGAUACUGUUCUGUCUAUGCAUAAUUUUAGAGUUGUUAAAUAGUAAAAUAAAUGCUACCAUGUUAUUCUACACAUUGUUCUAGUCAAGAUACAUAUGUAGAUCAUUUUAAUUGAAGCUACGGUUAAGAAGAUAUGAGACAAUCUAGCUAACAUGGCAUUAGGAAAAUUAAAUGAAAACAACAAGUUAAAUAUUUUUUACAUAGUUGAAAGUUGGAUAUUGUGAAACUAGAAAAAUUCUAAGCAUUUUUCAUAUAUGAAGGUUUUACAUGCGAUGCACAUAUAAUUUACUAUGAAUUAACUCAUUUUAAUAUGGCAUCACACAAAUCAAUGCAAACAACAGGUUAAAUAUUUUUAAACAUGCAUGAAAGUAGGUUAUUAUGAACCUACAUAUAUUCUGGACAUUUUACAUAUCUAAAUUAUUUUAAUCCGUGGCACGGUUGAAAAAUGAUGUUUUUUCUGUAAUUAAAAUGCAUUGGUUAAUUAGGAAAAAAAUAUAGACACUAAAAAAAGACUGCAAGCCAAAUCCCUAUUUGAUCCAACAGCAGAUGGGCACAACAUAGCUAUGCGGUGCAGCGGGAGAAGGAUAGGUCAACAUGAAUGGGGCUCGGAUGGAUGAUGCUCACCAUGGGCCACUCGGCCAGUCGAGGAGGCACGCUGGGUCGGCCCAUAGAUCCGAGCUGGGCCUGGCUGGAUCGGCGACCCACGUAGCACCGAUGGGCGAGCGCAUAGGCAUUGCUUGCGCUGGUGCGGUCAACGCGCUCGUGCGAUCACAAGUAGGGCUGGUGCUGCCCAUGGCGGCACGAUGCACGACAGGUCAUAGCAGGCCCAACCGUCGCAGCCCACCCACGACGAUGGAGGCGAGCACUCGUAGCCUCCCACGAGUGCCUGAAGCAGAGCAAGGCGGGGCAGUGGAUUGGUUGGGCUCGGGGCGACCGCUCCAGUGGCCACGAGGCGAAGCGGCUCCGGCAGGGCUCCGGUCGCUGGCGUGCUUGAGGCGGAGGCGAGCGACACUAGCAAGGAAGCACGGGAGGCCAUCGAGGCCACUACUCGAGGACGCCAUGUCCAUGGUGCCCGGAUGGAACCUGAAGAGAGAGAGAGAGAGACGUGAGAGGAAGAGAAAACGGGAGGAAGAGAUUCUGGGAGAAGGAGGAAGACAUGGGGAUGGGAAAGCUCGGUCCCCAAUGCUCCGGCGAGGUCGUCGUUAGAGGAGCCACUGCUGCAGAGGAGGUGGCUCAACCAGGAAUGCUAGGGCGCGCGAAGAUGAGGGUGACGACGCGAGCAUUGGCCUCGAUCCAGACCGGAUCAAGUGAUGUGGUCACUGCGGAGGAUGGAUGCGUCCAGUUGGUCCGACGCACAAAUUGAGGAGGAAUUCCAAAACAAGGCGGCGGCGGUGGGGACAAGAUGGAUGGAUGAGACAAAUUCCUAGGGUUAGGCUAGGGUUUCACUGCUUAAAUAGCUAGGUGGAUAUGGAUAUGGAUUAUCUGGACCCCGAUCUCGAUUGGGUGGUCGAGAAAAAUAGGCUAGGGGGCUCAAUUGAAAAACCAUGAUGGUUUGGGGUAUUUCGGGGCAGAUCUAGGCCCAACGUUCACGAACGUAUGUUUCGGGUUCUGGGAACUUAGCAGACACACGCGAGGGGUCUUUUCACUGUGUAGAGGGGCUAGGCAUAGAAGAGAGGGAAAACGGACAGCCUAGCAUCAUAUUUUCAAACACCGAAAAUGUCUACGAUUUAGACUGGCUAUAGUGCCGUUAUAGGUUUAAUAGUUCGGGUAACAAACGACCUCCAAAUGCGGUGAAAUUUGGCACGCGGUCUACCUAUAAUAAAACAAGACCGCUCGCGAACUUUCCUCCCAUUCUGAUAAUGCUUUAUAC